GUGGGGAAUAUUGGACAAUGGGGGGAACCCUGAUCCAGCCAUGCCGCGUGUGUGAAGAAGGCCUUUUGGUUGUAAAGCACUUUAAGCGAGGAGGAGGCUACCGAGAUUAAUACUCUUGGAUAGUGGACGUUACUCGCAGAAUAAGCACCGGCUAACUCUGUGCCAGCAGCCGCGGUAAUACAGAGGGUGCAAGCGUUAAUCGGAUUUACUGGGCGUAAAGCGUGCGUAGGUGGCCAAUUAAGUCAAAUGUGAAAUCCCCGAGCUUAACUUGUGAAUUGCAUUAGAUACUGGUUGGCUAGAGUAUGGGAGAGGAUGGUAGAAUACCAGGUGUAGCGGUGAAAUGCGUAGAGAUCUGGAGGAAUACCGAUGGCGAAGGCAGCCAUCUGGCCUAAUACUGACACUGAGGUGCGAAAGCAUGGGGAGCAAACAGGAUUAGAUACCCUGGUAGUCC
rnacentral:rRNA from 1 species